rnacentral:rRNA from 1 species
CAGCAGCCACGGGAAUACAGAGGGUGCGAGCGUUAAUCGGAUUUACUGGGCGUAAAGCGUGCGUAGGCGGCUUCUUAAGUCGGAUGUGAAAUCCCUGAGCUUAACUUAGGAAUUGCAUUCGAUACUGGGAAGCUAGAGUAUGGGAGAGGAUGGUAGAAUUCCAGGUGUAGCGGUGAAAUGCGUAGAGAUCUGGAGGAAUACCGAUGGCGAAGGCAGCCAUCUGGCCUAAUACUGACGCUGAGGUACGAAAGCAUGGGGAGCAAACAGGAUUAGAUACCACUGUAGUCCCUGUCUCUUAUAA